GCAUAUUCGUCUCAUGACGCAGUUUCAUUUUAAAGGGGAGUUUUACUUUCUAUUGCAAGGGUGGCUGAAAGAUAAAUGGCCAGUGAUGUUACCAAGUGUAAUUAGAGAUGCUCCUAAAAGAACCAAAGUAGCUUCAUAUGAUGCAGAUGUUGGAGAUGCCAAACCCAUAAAGCAACAUCCAUAUCGGAUGAACAUGGAAAAAUGUGAACUUGCUGAACAAGAAAUUAA